rnacentral:rRNA from 1 species
AUUGAACGCUGGCGGCAUGCCUUACACAUGCAAGUCGAACGGCAGCACGGGAGCAAUCCUGGUGGCGAGUGGCGAACGGGUGAGUAAUGUAUCGGAACGUACCUUUCAGUGGGGGAUAACGUAGCGAAAGUUACGCUAAUACCGCAUAUUCUGUGAGCAGGAAAGCAGGGGAUCGCAAGACCUUGCGCUGAUUGAGCGGCCGAUAUCAGAUUAGCUAGUUGGUGAGGUAAAGGCUCACCAAGGCGACGAUCUGUAGCGGGUCUGAGAGGAUGAUCCGCCACACUGGAACUGAGACACGGUCCAGACUCCUACGGGAGGCAGCAGUGGGGAA